AGGGGGCAGUGUAGUGUUGGUCACACACGCACAGGUGUGGGGGAUUACAGGUAUUAGCUGGGAGUUCAUGUGUUUGCUUUUGUGUUUGCUUUACAAGGGAAAAAAAGCUCCAUCCCCCUGGAAAAGAAGGAAAGAAGGGAAGAAUAAUGUGGAUUUAUUGAGGAGAAAGAGAAGUAAAUAUUUGGUGGCGUUUAAGAAGUGUUUGUGUUCCACCUGCAUGACAAGAUGAGGACUUUUUUUAAGGCAGCACUUCCAACAAGAAGAAGAUGAGGACAUGUUUGAGGCAGCACUUCCAACAAGAAGAAGAUGAGGACAUGUUUGAGGCAGCACUUCCAACAAGAAGAAGAUGAGGACAUGUUUGAGGCAGCACUUCCAACAAGAAGAAGAUGAGGACAUGUUUGAGGCAGCACUUCCAACAAGAAGAAGAUGAGGACAUGUUUGAGGCAGCACUUCCAACAAGAAGAAGGACUAGAAGUGACGUCAUACCUGAGUGGAAAAAGUUUGGACACCCCUGCCAUAUGGUCUCCACAUCAAAGGUCCAUUUCCCUACGAAGACCAUGCAUCCUGCCCAUCAACCAAUGGCCUCACCAGCCAAGUUUGAUCACUCUAUGGAGGCUGUACACCCCUCCCAUCCCCACACCGCUGGCCCAUCACCAAAUGUCCACACCUAUGGUCCUUCACCCGGCGUACACAAUAGCUUGCUACCUGAAUCCACCUGAGAAUAAAAAGGCAGCUUUCCUGGCACCAGACAGGAGAGAUGCAGGCAACCCAUCUAUUGAGGACACUAUCUGUUAUCAACCACAGGCAGAAAAAUCAUGGACGCCAUGUGAUGGAUGUAGGGAGGAGUUGGAAAAAAUGUGGGCAGAAAAAGAAGGAAUUGAAGAAGUCCUCUUGAAAAUAGAUCCGGUCCAAGUCAGAGUACUUCAAACUCUCUGCGACUUGGUUGGAGACAAAUACAGCGACGGCCCUCCUCAACAAUCGGGCCAGCAAGAGCUCUUUCCUGAGAGCGGCGUAUUCAUAUCAUUGUUCCGCCUUGCUGCCAUGAGACAUGCUGCAGAGCCCAAAUGUAUGCCUUUAUUUGGACCUCUUUUUUCUACAGUAGAGGAGUGUCAAAAUGCUGUCCCUUUUUGACGCCCUGGAAACAAACCUGCAGGAACACCAAAGCGCAUCCUUAAGCGGAAAAAAGUGGAAGGAAUCCUUACGUAUGUCCUGAGAUGCAGUACCCUUCCUGAUUGGGACGAUAUUGAGGAGGUCAAGCUCAAGAAAGCUUUGGUAAACAAAAGUCAGGCCAGAGAGGGUUUGAAGUAGGCCCUUGUACCUGUCAAGUUCAUUCUAUGGUAGGAUGUUCAAUAUUUUGGUCUAGGUUUGCGCAGUAUAUGUUGUCAAAAAUGGCCCUAUGAUGUAGCUUUUAGUACCAGGUUAUACUGUGAUAAUGCAUAUUGAGCUGUGCUGUGCCAAGCAAAUUUGGCAGUGAUGCAACCUCACUAACAAGCUAGCGGCUAAUAUCCUUUUACAGUUCAAAGUUGUUUCCAAAUCAAAAAAAAAUGACGCAGUACGUUACUGCUUACAUAAUCAGGUAUAUUAGUAGCUUUUGUAACCAAUUUCAACAUGUUUCAAUGAUCAUUUGUGUAGCAAAUGUUAUAUUGUUAUGGCAGGAGGCUGUUCUAUUGUUUACAACAGUGUUUCUUAAUCCUAGGGCUGGGGCCCACUGUUUGGCUGCGAGUACCCCUUGGAAGCCGCCAAUAAAUAUCUGUUUCUUAGCUGUGGUCCGUCCAUAUGGGCCGCAAUGGUACUCGCUUGUAAUCCACUUUAGUGUAGAAGGACUCAUUCAGUGUUUAUAUUUCAUUUGGCCCCAGACCCCUCUGUAGUGGAACAUUCUGAGACCCCUCUGUGGUGGAAAAGUUGGUCGUGCCCCAAGGUUAAAAAUGUUAAGAAUCCCUGCUUUUCAAUGUGUGAUUAUUUUUUGGUAUGUAGACCAGUUCCAGACAGCACGGUUACAAUUUUAUAAAUGUAUUUCAGUUUUUGCUUGGAAUAUUUCAAAAAUGGAAAUGUUGUCAUUUACUCACCUUCUUACUGAGAUGAAGUCAAGUGUUUUUUGAACUAAGGUACCUGCUUUGCUCAACAAGGAGUUCAAAAAACUACACCUGACUUUUUCACAAUAACAAAGUGAGUACCUCAGGUCAAAUUCAUUUAUUUUUGUAUUUGUUUUAUUUUCUGUAUAUUGUUUUCUAUGUUGUCUUAAGUAUUGUAAAUGACAAUAUGUACAUGAUGUAUGUACUAAUUUACUACAUUUACAUUUUGUUAUUUCAUCUAUUUUUAAAUUAUAUUUUAAAAUAAAGUGAUA